rnacentral:tRNA from 1 species
UCCCUGAAGGUCUGGUGGUUAAGACUCUGAGCUUCCAAUGCAGUGGGCACAGGUUCAACCCCUGGUUAUGGAA